GCCAUGCCGUGUGUGUGUGUGUGUGUGGUGUGUGUGUCUGUGUGUGUAUGUGUGCGUGUUCAGGGGAGGAGAUGGCUGGGCCCAGGGGGCAGCCGAGCCCCGCCACAGCCGGGGAGGGCUCCGCGCUUCCGUCCCGGCGGCGGCGGCCCGGACAGAGCCCCGGGGAGGGGACAGCGCCCUGGGGCCGGGACAGAGCCCUGGGACGGGACAGCGCCCUGAGGCCGGGACAACGCCCUGAGGCCGGGACAACGCCCUGAGGCCGUGACAGCGCCGUGGGGCCGGGACAGCGCCCUGGGAGGGGACUGUGGUGGCCAGGACAGCGCAAGCAGCGGAGCCAUGAGCCCGGCAGAAAAUACAAGGGACAUCCUCGUGAUAUAUGAACAAGAAGCAGAAGAAUGGGCUCUGUAUUUAAAAUCUCUUUUUGGACUCAUAGUGGACAAAGAGGGAAUCUUACUCUACGAUCUAGAGAAUUCAUCUUCCAAGCACCAGGAUCUACUCUGUUUACUGUCUUAUAAAUGUAAACUCCUGAUACUCUCAUGUGGACUUCUUACCUGCCUGAAUCAAAAGAGAAGUUGUUUUCUGGAACAAGUUCUAAAACCUCCAGAUAAUGUGGUAAUUCUGCUUUGUGGAGUGGAGAAUUCAGAGAUUCUUUAUGAGAUACUGACCUUAGCUGGAGGCAGCAAAGAGAUUUCUACUGAUCAGAAACCUGAAGAAUAUCUUUCUGUUAUUAAAGAAGUUAUUCAACCAGCUAAACCAUGGGAUGAAAGUCCUGGAGACUCUGUAUCUUACAUCUAUGAAGCAGUUCUUCCGGAUGAUCACCAGCCUAUCUCUGAUAUUAACUUGUCAGAUGCCAGGGAAGCAUCAGAAGAAACAGACCUCUCUUUUAAAACAGAGGUACUUUCUGAAAGAUUAAAAAGUAACGAGCAGUCAAUAUUGGUGCUUCCAAAAAGAGUAUUAUGUGAGAACCCCGGUGAAAUAUUCAUUCUGUUGAAAGAGGAAAUAGAUGAAGAAACUCUAGAAAUUGAAUUCAUAACAGAUAAUCAACAAAUUAGAACACAGACAGCCUCUUGGAACAAGAAGGUCAAAUAUGUGAAAGCCCCAGAUUUUCCUGCUGGCCCUGUAUAUGUAAAUGUCUGCUGUGGGAGACUCAUUAAGAUGACAGCACAGAUUGAAUACUAUACUGCAGUAGAGGAAAUUGAAUCCAUUUUAAAGAAAGUGGCUGACCCAAUAGCUUUCGUUUGUCAGCAGGCAUUGAAAUUUUCUUCUGUAGAGAAGGUAGACAAUGUUCUCACUUCAUUAUUGAAAAGCAAAAUAUCUACUUAUGACUUCAGCCCAUUCCAAAGUGAUGAAGAGCACCAUCACCAAGCUAAUAAUCAUUUGGAAGAAUUUCCUACCCUACUUCACUGUGCAGCCAGAUUUGGCUUGAAGAACCUUGCAACGUUUCUACUCAGUUGUUCUGAGGCCACACGGGCUUGCGAAAUAACCAAUAAAUAUGGAGACAAUCCAGAAAGUAUUGCGAAGAAGCACGGGCACAAGGAAUUAAGAAAAUUAAUCAAUGAAUUGUCAAGUUAUGCAGCAAGUGAUUCCAUUAAUUGCAAGGAGGAAGCGGAAGACAGCAACACUUAUGACCUUAUAUUAGGCUCAGAAACUCCACCAGCCAUGGCCAAACAGAACUCAAGAGAUCAAUAUGCAAUUAGAUCAAGAUGUCAACAAGAAGUCGAGGUGGAUGCGGAAAAGAAGGAUGACCCAAAAGACAGCAGAGAGGAGACAGAAUAUAAAGAUGAAGAUGAAGAUGAAGAUGAAGAUGAAGAUGAAGAUGAAGAUGAAGAUGAAGAUGAGAAGGAUUCAUACAGCCUUCACAACAGUCCUGGAAGUUUGUAUGUCAAUGUAGAGGAUGAGCUCAAAGAGAGCAAGAGAGAUUGCUUUUUCUGCACGAGGCCACCCCCUCCUCCCCCUCGAAAUCUGCCUGGCAUCCAAAGACAGGACAAUCUGCAUGGCUCAUCACAAGAGAGGAAUUUUGUGAUGGACUGGAGUAAAAGAGAACAGGAUGAUGGACUUGCAACCGCAUGCUGCGGAGAAGACAAAGGUACCUGCGAGGAGGACAGCGAGGAGGAGCACCCCUACACCUGUGUGGCACUGGAUGAAUGUGUGUACGACCUCAUCCUGGGGCAGGAGGAGCAGGAGGAGGAGAAAAGGAAGCACUGCAGGUCCUUUAUCAUGAACAGGCCGCCAGCCCCUGCGCCCCGGCCUGUGUGUUCGCCCCUCAGAGAGGAGAACACUCCCUACAUAGCACAAGUGUUUCAGCAAAAGGCCUGUCGAGUGACCAGUGACCACAGCAGGACAUACUGCGAGGCCAGGAAUCCUGAAGCACACAGAGGCCACACUGAGACAGUAAAUUGCAGCACUGUGGUACACAAGAUCCCUCCUGAACAGGAAGAACUCAUCCACUUGCAGGAACAGGUGAAAAAGGGGGCAAUUUCUGUGGAUGAAGCCCUUGACAGAUUUAAACAGUGGCAGAAUAAAAAGCAGAGACUACCAUCCACUCAACAGUUGAAGGAAAAAGUGCAGCACCUUAGAGACACCGCUAUCAGAAACAGACAAGAAAAUUAAAACCUGAAUGUCAACAGCUAGGAACCCAACAGACAAGGAGCAGAUCCUUAAUUACGAGGGGUAAGAGCAGGUUGACUCUCCAGCCAGCUGCACAUCCUCUGCUUGGCAUCCCACACGUGUUCCAGCUGUGCCCUGACAGCCUCAGGCUCCAGCCCAUCCUGCACUGACACUGCCGUGGGAUCAUUGCUGCACUUCCGUGCCUUGGGUUCUCUCACCAGGGCCAGCUCUGGAAGAAGACCAGGAUCACUGAAGCAAAUUAAUAGGGUUUCUUGUAAAGUCAUCACCGAAUUUUACACCUUUUCUUUGCUUUUCCUUUUUUCAAGAUGACAGCUCACAAGUUAUAUAAAGAUGUAUUGCGUGCUUUGGCUAAUAAUUUUUGAAGUCAUUUCAGUUUUUCCAUUGUGCUUGAUAAGUUGUUUGAAAGUAGAUUUUAUGCACAAAAGAGAAAGAUUGUAGAAGGUUAUAAAGACUAUGAAGGCAAGUAAAUAAAAUUUAGCUUUUACUUUUUGUUGAAACAUUUUUAUAUUAACUCUGUAAAAAAUUUGUCUUUCCUAGGCAUAAUUGUAUUUCAUCACCAGUUUAAAUAAUUGUACUCACAUUAAAGCUAAUUUCUUAAGCCAAACUAUGUAAACCAGUACUAAUUAUCUACUAACACAUUAAAGUGAU